UGCCUCAGCCUCCCAAGUAGCUGGGACUACAGGUGUUCAACACCAGACCUCUGGCUAGAAUUUACAUUUUAAUAAGUUCCUGCUGUGACUUAAAUGCACAUUAAAGAUUGAGAAGCCAUGCAUUAGUGGAUUUGAUGAAGCAAACACAUUUUGAGUUUCUCAGCUGAACCAAAGGAAAUCAAGAAAUCUCUUGAAAUCAAGGAAAUCAAGGAAUCAAUUACUUACAUCAAGCUGAGCAAGAGACAACUUGAAGACAGAGGUAGCAGUAAUCAGCCAGGAUUUCCAAGGAAACCUGGUGGUACUGAGGCAGGAGACAGAACUCAACGCUGGAGGCAGAGCUUGGACACCGGACCAAAUUGAGGACUAGCUGAAACAGGUUUGGAGCAGAAGCACCUCCCCAUAAGACAUGCCCACCAGUGUGCCAUGUCAGUUUACCAUUGCCAUGGCAACACCCUGAAGUUAUGGCCCCUUUCUGUGGCAAUGACCUGACAACCUGGAGGAUACCACCCUCAUUCUAGAAAUUUCUGCAUAAACUGCCCAUUAAGUUGCAUAUAGUUAAAAGUGGGUAUAGGGCAAGAUGCAGUGGCUCAUGCCUAGAAUCCCAGCACUUUGGGAGGCCAAGGUGGGUGGAUU